GAGGGUGUAGCUCAGUGGUAGACUGCAGUGCUUAGCGUGCACGAGGUCCUGGGUUCAAUCCCCAGUACCUCCA
rnacentral:tRNA from 1 species